GGGAAUAUAGCUCAGUUGGUAGAGUGCUUGCCUUGCAUACAUAAGGCCCUGGGUUCAAUCCCCAGUACCA
rnacentral:tRNA from 1 species